UGGCCACAUGAUGCUGAAACACUGGUCCUCGUACAAUUGCUGAAGUUAAGCAACAUUGAGCCUGGUUAGUACCUAGAUGGGUAACCGUUUGGGAAUACCGGGUGCUGUAAG